UACGGAGGGUGCGAGCGUUGUCCGGAAUCACUGGGCGUAAAGGGUGUGCAGGCUGCCCCUCAAGUGGUGUAUGAAAGGGCUCGGCUCAACCGGGCUAGGUUAUGCCAGACUGAGGGGCUAGAGAGCGAGAGCGGGACGUGGAAUUCCGGGUGUAGUGGUGAAAUGCGUAGAGAUCCGGAGGAACCCCAGAGGCGAAGGCGGCGUCCUGGCUCGCAUCUGACGCUCAGACACGACAGCAUGGGGAGCGAACGGG
rnacentral:rRNA from 1 species